CUUGCUUUUCCGCCNGCGACCGGCGCACGGGUGCGGAACGCGUAUGGAACCUGCCCCUGUCAGGGGAAUAGCCCAGGGAAACUUGGAUUAAUGCCCCCAUGGUACCGUUAUAUCGCAUGAUAUUACGGUUAAAGAUUUAUCGGACAGGGAUGGCCAUGCGUACCAUUAGUUAGUUGGUGAGGUAACGGCUCACCAAGGCAGCGAUGGUUAGGGGCCCUGAGAGGGGGAUCCCCCACACUGGUACUGAGACACGGACCAGACUCCUACGGGAGGCAGCAGUGAGGAAUAUUGGACAAUGGGCGGGAGCCUGAUCCAGCCAUGCCGCGUGCAGGAUGACGGCCCUAUGGGUUGUAAACUGCUUUUAUACGGGAAGAAACGCGCCCACGUGUGGGCGUUUGACGGUACCGUAAGAAUAAGGACCGGCUAACUCCGUGCCAGCAGCCGCGGUAAUACGGAGGGUCCGAGCGUUAUCCGGAAUCAUUGGGUUUAAAGGGUCCGUAGGCGGGCCUGUAAGUCAGGGGUGAAAGUUUGUGGCUCAACCAUAAAAUUGCCUUUGAUACUGCAGGUCUUGAGUCAUGGUGGGGUUGCCGGAACAUGUGGUGUAGCGGUGAAAUGCAUAGAUAUCACAUAGAACACCGAUCGCGAAGGCAGGUGACCAACCAUGUACUGACGCUGAUGGACGAAAGCGUGGGUAGCGAACGGGAUUAGAUACCCCGGUAGUCCACGCCGUAAACGAUGGAUACUAGCUGUGGGGUUUUCGGACUCCGUGGCCAAGCGAAAGUGAUAAGUAUCCCACCUGGGGAGUACGUUCGCAAGAAUGAAACUCAAAGGAAUUGACGGGGGCCCGCACAAGCGGUGGAGCAUGUGGUUUAAUUCGAUGAUACGCGAGGAACCUUACCAGGGCUUAAAUGCAGGCUGCAUGGGGUAGAGAUACCCCUUUCUUCGGACCGCCUGCAAGGUGCUGCAUGGUUGUCGUCAGCUCGUGCCGUGAGGUGUCAGGUUAAGUCCUAUAACGAGCGCAACCCCUACCGUUAGUUGCCAGCAUGUCAAGAUGGGGACUCUAACGGGACUGCCGGUGCAAACCGUGAGGAAGGUGGGGACGACGUCAAAUCAUCACGGCCCUUACGUCCUGGGCUACACACGUGCUACAAUGGNCCGGUACAGAGGGAAGCCACCCCGCAAGGGGGCGCGGAUCUACAAAACCGGUCACAGUUCGGAUCGGGGUCUGCAACUCGACCCCGUGAAGCUGGAAUCGCUAGUAAUCGGAUAUUCAGCCAUG
rnacentral:rRNA from 1 species